UACGUAGGGUGCAAGCGUUGUCCGGAAUUAUUGGGCGUAAAGAGCUCGUAGGCGGUCUGUCACGUCGGCUGUGAAAACCUGGGGCUCAACUCCGGGCCUGCAGCCGAUACGGGCAGACUAGAGUUCGGCAGGGGGAGACUGGAAUUCCUGGUGUAGCGGUGAAAUGCGCAGAUAUCAGGAGGAACACCGGUGGCGAAGGGCGGGGUCUCUGGGCCGAUACUGACGCUGAGGCACGAAAGCCAGGGGAGCAAACGGGG
rnacentral:rRNA from 1 species